GGCUCGGUAGCUUAGUUGGUAAAGCGCUCGUCUAGCAUACAAGAGUCCUGGGUUCAAAGCCCAGCCGAGCAN
rfam:Aedes aegypti strain Liverpool supercont1.1343 genomic scaffold, whole genome shotgun sequence.